rnacentral:rRNA from 1 species
AUUGAACGCUGGCGGCAGGCUUAACACAUGCAAGUCGAACGAGUGGCGGACGGGUGAGUAAUGCUUGGGAAUCUAGCUUAUGGAGGGGGAUAACUACGGGAAACUGUAGCUAAUACCGCGUACCAUAGGAUGAGCCCAAGUGGGAUUAGGUUGUUGGUGGGGUAAAGGCUCACCAAGCCGACGAUCUCUAGCUGGUCUGAGAGGAUGACCAGCCACAAGGGGACUGAGACACGGCCCAGACUCCUACGGGAGGCAGCAGGGGGGAAUAGUGCGCAAGGGGGGCAAGCUGAGGCAGCAAGGCCGCGUGUAUGAAGAAGGCCUUCGGGUUGUAAAGUUCUUUCAGUGGGGAGGCGUUAACAACAGAAGAAGAACCGGCUAACUCCGUGCCAGCAGCCGCGGUAAUAC